rnacentral:sRNA from 1 species
CUUCGGAACUCAAGGGGUAGGAUGAGAACCCCGGGUUCGACAAAAUCGCCUGGAGCGAUUUUGAACGCCGGCGCGGAAGCGGCGGCGGCCCGAAGGGCGAGGGCAGGAGGCCCGAGUAAUCCUACCCCCUCCACCA